GAUGAACGCUGGCGGCGUGCCUAAUACAUGCAAGUCGAGCGAACAGACGAGGAGCUUGCUCCUCUGACGUUAGCGGCGGACGGGUGAGUAACACGUGGAUAACCUACCUAUAAGACUGGGAUAACUUCGGGAAACCGGAGCUAAUACCGGAUAAUAUAUUGAACCGCAUGGUUCAAUAGUGAAAGACGGUUUUGCUGUCACUUAUAGAUGGAUCCGCGCCGCAUUAGCUAGUUGGUAAGGUAACGGCUUACCAAGGCAACGAUGCGUAGCCGACCUGAGAGGGGGAUCGGCCACACGGGAACUGAGACACGGUCCAGACUCCUACGGGAGGCAGCAGUAGGGAAUCUUCCGCAAUGGGCGAAAGCCUGACGGAGCAACGCCGCGGGAGUGAUGAAGGUCUGCGGAUCGUAAAACUCUGUUAUUAGGGAAGAACAAAUGUGUAAGUAACUAUGCACGUCUUGACGGUACCUAAUCAGAAAGCCACGGCUAACUACGU
rnacentral:rRNA from 1 species